GGGAAUGUGGCUUAGUGGUAGAGUGCUUGUCUAGCAUGCAUGAAUGAAGCCCUGGGUUCGAUUCCUCAGUACCA
rnacentral:tRNA from 1 species